rfam:Schistosoma mattheei strain Denwood, Zambia genome assembly, scaffold: SMTD_scaffold0010358
AUCCGGCUGACGAGUCCCAAAUAGGACGAAACACGAGUCCUGGAU